AUGAACCAUAUGGUGCAUAAGCUUGCAAAAGACAUUAUGUGUGACUUAUAUGAUUCAUUUGGGAAGCUGACUAGUUUGAAGCAUAUAGAUUUAUCAGACUGCUCCGGACUAGAAAAACUGCCGCAAUCAUUCGGGAAGCUAACAAACUUGAUGCACAUCAACUUAUCACGGUGCUCUGGAAUAGUUACUCUGCCUCCGUUGCUUGGGAAGCUGAUAUAUUUGCUGCACAUCAACCUAUCAGGCUGCUCUGGAUUGGUAAACUUACCGGAAUCAUUUGGGAACCUCAUAAAUUUGGUGCAUAUCAACUUGUCAGGCUGCUGUGGGCUAUUAAAUCUGCCUGAGUCAUUCGGGAAUCUAGUAAAUUUGUUGCACAUUGAUUUAUCAUGUUGCCAUGGACUAGAUAAACUGCCGGAAUCAUUCAGGAAGCUCAAAUUUUUGGUACACCUAGACCUAUCAUUCUGGUCUUGUUUUGAAGGGGUCCAGAAAGCUCUUGCUGGCCUUACCAAUCUCCAGCACUUGAACUUGUCACACCCUUGCUGUUAUCUUGCUCAACAGCAGUCCUGUCUCGAAGGACUAAAAGAUGUUCUGGGCCAGCUCACCAAAAUAGAGUAUUUGAACCUAUCCAUGUUCCUGAAUCCUAUCUUUUACUCAGAGUCAGUAGAGCGAACUCAUGGAAUUAUUGAACGUAUCAGUGGCUUUUCCAGUCUGGAACAUUUGGAUUUGUCUCAUAAUAGAUUUCUACAUGAUCUACCUGAAAGUUUAGGUGAACUCAACAAUCUGCAAACACUGGACCUCUCAGGCUGCAUUAGACUGAAGAGCAUAGCCAAAAGGAUAGGUGAAAUCAGGUCUCUCCAGUCAAUAAAUGUGAGGAACUGCCGCAGUUUGAAAAGUUGUGAGCUUGUGGUUAAACCUGAUAACGGAGAAGCAUAUAGGAACACAAGCAUUGUUGAGCUCGAGAAUGCAAACUUGGAAGAGCUUGAGAUAAGCUGUCUUGAAAACGUGAAGUCUGCAGAACAGGCAGAGCAAAUCAGAAUGGCACUGGAAGGAAAAAUUGAAAAGUUGAAACUUUGCUGGACUGUGGGCUCCCAAGUAUCCAUGGAGGGCAAUACCCUGUUAGGAGAAUUACUGCCGUCAUAUCUGCAGUGCCUUGAACUACAUGGUUAUAGUGGCGAGACCCGCCUUUCUGCAUGGUGGACAUCAACCUCAUACUGGUGGACAUCAACUGCAUCUUCCUGUGUCUCUACUCUUGUAGAGGUUACAGUUGAGGGUUUCCUGAGGUGCAGCCGCCCACCACCACUGUGUUUGUUACUAAACCUGCGACGAGCAGUUUUCAGAAGGAUGGCUAGCAUUACAAGAUUCGACGUCAAUGACCUCACUGAUGGAAACCGAGCAGCAAUCCAUCGACUCCCCAAGUUCACUCUAGAGUUGGAUGAUAUGGAAAGCCUGGAAGAGUUCAAAACAACAUAUGACAGAAGAGGUAAGGAGUGUGUGCUCCCGGCCAUUGGUGAACUGGUUAUUACGGGGUGCCCCAAGUUGUGCUUUGGACCUUUCACGCCUAGAGCUCGGAGGUUGGUGAUCUCAGACUGCAGCAAACUAAUGGUUUAUUCCUGGUGGAACAGAGGAGGCCAGAGUGUGGAAACCCCUAUUACCUCUGUUUUAGUAAAUGAACUGGUGGUCAAAAACUGCAACCUAGCUCUAUAUAACUGGACUUUGCUUCACAGCCUCCCUGGCCUCUAUAGUUUAACUGUCAAAGAUUGCCGUGAUCUGAAGACUUUACCACGGACUUUACCACAUACUAUUGAGGCCCUAUCCUCCCUCCAGUCACUAUGCUUGUCUAAUUGCUGGAUCGAGCCACUAGAACAACACUUGGGUGACCUCACCUCUCUCCGGGAACUAAAGAUCGCGUCCUGCAAUAUGUUCAAGGGAUUCACGCGGAGUUUGCAAAGGCUCACCUCCCUUGGGUCAAUGCAUCUUAUUGACUGCAACAGUAUCACAUCACUGCCGGACUGGUUAGGAGAUCUCACCAAUCUUGAGAAGCUUGCCAUCCACAGAUGCCCUGCCAUUGAAUCUUUGCCGGGCAGCAUAAAUAAACUAACCAACCUGAAAGAUCUGCAUAUUUUGGACUGCCCAAAACUGAAGGGCUGGUGUGAAAGGGAGGAGAACAAGAAAAUAAUGGCUCACAUCCAACCAAACUAUGAUGAAGAGCAUGGUACUAGCAGUAGCAGGCCAGGCAACAUGGACGAGGGCUAUGAGGAGGGUGAAUUGGAGGACUGGUUGGAUGGCGUGGAGGAGGAGGAGCCAGAGGCAGAGGCAGUAUCGACGGAUGCAGUGGAGAAUCCAGUGGCGACAGGCAACACGGAUGUUGUAGUAGAGGAGGAGAAAUCGGAGGCAGCAUUGACGGAUGCGUCGAAGAAUUCAGUGGUGACAGACAAGGCGGAUGUCGUAGCGGAGGAGGAAGCGGAGGCAGUAUUGCCGGAUGCAGUGGACAAUUCAGUGGUGACAGGCAACAGGGAUGCUGUAGAGGAGGAGGCGACGAGGGAUGUGGACGCAGCAGCGGCAGCUGAUAUGCCCUUAGUUGUGGAAGGAAGCAACGAUGGUGGUGGCUCCUACAUCCUCGAAGACAGUGAAACCGGGACUCCAAAAUAUCGUCGUUUCCAUGUCAUGUGUUCAAGGUCUGCUUGGAAGGGAGUUGUUGAUUCACGGAGCCAUCAUUUUCCAGAUUGGGUCUCACAAUGUAGGAAAAGACCUUUCAGAAUUUUAGACGGUAUUCGGAUCCUUAUAGUUGGAUUUGUACGCAUCAGUCAGAGUCGUUCAGAUUUUGGUCAGUUAGCUUUAGGAGAAACUGUUAACAGCAAGAUCGGGGAUGACGUGGCCGCACGAGAAGCGAGAGAAAUCAGAUUAAUCUUGGUCGUGAGAUUUCCAACAAUACUACUCCAGUGGCCGCUGAAGAUGGAUACGUGCACCAGCUCGAGCGUGUGCCAACGUCCGAACAGGGAGGAGCUGCUCCCGCUGCUCCAACGCAAAGACAACAACCACCACGACAACAAUGCAGGUAGUAGAGGAGGAGCGGCAGGCGGCAGCGGCGACCCGCACUCGCGCCCAUGGGGCAGCAGAGGAGGAGCGGCAGGUGGCAGCGGCGAUCCACGCUCGCGUCCAUGGGGCAACAGUAGGCGGCAGCGGUCCGUUAACGGUGAGCUUGAUCGCCUCACCUGGAAGAAUUUGAAUUUCAUGAUGCAUCCCCCUGAUUAUAAGUCGAAGUGCACCAAACACCAAACACGUACGAAACAGCUCAUGUGCCAUGGGUACAUCGGUGCACCGUUCUUGCCAGUGGCCUGCACAGCUCCAGCUGGUUCCUUUCCCCUAGCUUUGCUCCGCCAUCCGGGAGGUGGGCGAACGAUCCUCUGCCCCCUGCGCUGCAUCAUCCCCGUCCCAUUGCUGGCUCGAAUCGAAGCUUCUUGCUUUUGGGUGGAGGGGCUAGAAGCAGCCAUGGCCCAAGCCAUUGUCCAAAGCUCAUGCAGAAAGCUCAGAGCCGCCAUCGCCGUCGGAGACAAGGCCACCGGCAAUUUGCAGGAAAUAAUGGAGACGCUGGAGGUCAUACACCCGCUGCUGGCGGACGCCGAGAUGCGGUGUCUUCGUUUUAGGUGUGAUGCCCCCAAAGAGAAAUCGGAAGAAAUGGAAACUACGCCGGAAGCCAUACAGCCGCUGCUGGAGGAUGCCCCCCAGCAAAUGGAGGGGAAGAAGGUGCGGGACUGGCUGCGGCGGGUCGUGAAGGCCGCCUACAACAUCUUGGACGAGUUGCAAGACACAAUGACACCACCUGCACCCGCGCGAAAGUUCAUGAAGAUGAUGCCGCGUGCCAAAGUCCUCAAGAAGAAGAAUCUCAUGGCCGAUAAGAUGGAGAAGAUAAAAGAAGAAGUCUACAAGCUAUGGGUCGACAUGGAUGAAUUUAAUCUUAUGUCACCUAGUUCCGAUGCAAGGAUCGAGCCACCACUUAUUUAUGAUGGCAGCAAGACAAGAUUAGCACGAAUGGUUUUCAACCAUACCCGAUUCAAAGACUACUCUAGGGUAUGGAUCCAAUGCUCCAGAAAUCUUCACUUGCAUCAGAUAGGGAAGUCCAUAAUUUCUCAGGUAUCAGGGGAAGAGAUCAACGGUGGUUCCGAUGACAACAUGGAGUAUAUGGCAUAUGGCUAUCACGGCAUGAUUGCGAAGAGUUGCAGGCAAUCCGACAGAUUCUCCGCGAUACAGGUUGGUGAGCAGUAUAUUUCAAUGCUUCUGGGCAUGUCACUUCUUCAAACAACAAUGCCGGUUUCGACUAGUGGAAGUGCUGAUAAGAGUACAACCUGGUUCACUGUAAACCAUAUGGUGCAUGACCUUGCAAAACAAGUUAUGCAUGACAUAUAUGAUACAAAGGAGACGUCUUAUCAGCAGGAAUUAUGCUCUAAUAAUGACUGCCGCUAUGUACUGCUUACCGAUUUGAAGUUAUCCAGUAAAUUGUCUGCCCAAAUAAGGGCUCUACGUUGUGUUGGCUCUGGCAAAAUGGACCUCAGCGAUGAUUCAUUUUCAUUUUCCAAGUGCUUGAGUGUCUUGGAUUUAAAUGGCACCUCGAUGCUGAACUUACCAAAUUCUAUCUGUCAGUUGAGGCAUUUGGGAUAUCUUAAUUUAUCAGGCUGCUCUGGACUACUCAAUCUACCGGAUUCACUUGGAGAUCUACUAAAUCUGUUGUAUAUUGAUUUAUCAGGCUGCUGCGGAGUAAGAAAUCUACCUGAUUCAGUUGGGAAGCUAAUUAAUUUGGCGCAUAUUGACUUAUCAGGUUGCUCUGGACUUGUAAAUUUGCCAGAUUCAUUUGGGAAGCUGAAAAAUUUGUUGCAUAUUGACUUAUCAAGAUGCCCUGGACUUGUAAAUUUGCCAGAUUCAUUUGGGAAGCUGACUAGUUUGAAGCAUAUCGAUUUAUCAGACUGCUCUGAACUAGAAAAACUGCCGCAAUCAUUCGGGAAGCUAACAAAUUUGGUGCACAUCAACUUAUCACGGUGCUCUGGAAUAGUUAGUCUAUCUCCGUCUUUUGGGAAGCUAAUGUAUUUGCUGCAUAUCAACCUAUCAGACUGCUCUGGAUUGGUAAACUUACCAGAAUCAUUUGGGAACCUCACAAAUUUGGUGCAUAUCAAUUUUUCAGGCUGCUGUGGGCUAUUAAAUCUGCCUGAGUCAUUCGGGAAUCUAAUAAAUUUGCUGCACAUUGAUUUAUCAUGUUGCCAUGGACUAGGUAAACUGCCGGAAUCAUUCGGGAAGCUGAAAAAUUUGGUACACCUAGAUUUAUCAUUCUGGUCUUGUUUUGAAGGGGUCGAGAAAGCUCUUGGUGGCCUUACCAAUCUCCAGCACCUGAACUUGUCACACCCUUGCUGUUAUCUUGCUCAACAGCAGUCCUGUCUCGAAGGACUAAAAGAUGCUCUGGGCCAGCUCACCAAAAUAGAGUAUUUGAACCUAUCUAUGUUCCUGAAUCCUAUCUUUUACUCAGAGUCAGUAGAGCGAACUCAUGGAAUUAUUGAACGUAUCAGUGGCUUUUCCAGUCUGGAACAUUUGGAUUUGUCUCAUAAUAGAUUUCUACAUGAUCUACCUGAAAGUUUAGGUGAACUCAACAAUCUGCAAACACUGGACCUCUCAGGCUGCAUUAGACUGAAGAGCAUAGCCAAAAGGAUAGGUGAAAUCAGGUCUCUCCAGUCAAUAAAUGUGAGGAACUGCCGCAGUUUGAAAAGUUGUGAGCUUGUGGUUAAACCUGAUAACGGAGAAGCAUAUAGGAACACAAACAUUGUUGAGCUCGAGAAUGCAAACUUGGAAGAGCUUGAGAUAAGCUGUCUUGAAAACGUGAAAUCUACUGAAGAUGCAAGGCAAAUACAGGUUACCAUUGAGGCCAUCUCGAGGUGCAGCCGCCCACCACCACUGUGUUUGUUACUAAACCUCCGACGAGCAGUUUUCAGAAGGAUGGCUAGCAUCACAAGAUUCGACAUCAAUGACCUCACCGGUGAAUACCGAACAACACUCAAUCGACUCCCCAAGUUGACCCUAGAGUUGGAUGAUAUGGAAAGCCUGGAAGAGUUCAAGACAACAUACGACAGAAAUGGUAAGGAGUGUAUGCUCCCGGCCAUUGGUGAACUGGUGAUUACGAAAUGUAACAAGGUGUGCUUCGUACCUUUCACGCCUAGAGCUUGGAAAUUGGUGAUCUCAGAGUGCAGCAAACUAAUGGUCCAUUCCAGAGGAGGGCACCCUUGUACCUCUGUUUCAGUAAAUGAACUGGUGGUGAAGAACUGCAAGAAAACUCUAUAUAACUGGCAUUUCCUUCACAGCCUCCCAGGCCUCCGUAGUUUAACUGUCAAAGAUUGCGACAAUGUGUGGACUAUACCAGAUACUAUGGAGGCCCUAUCCUCCCUCCAAUCUCUAUGCUUGUCCAAUUGCCGGGUGGACAAAGUACAGCACUUGGCAGACCUCACCUGUCUCCGGGAACUGAAGAUUGUGUCCUGCGAAGGGAUCAAUGGGUUCAUGCAGAGUUUGCAAGGACUCACCUCCCUUGGGUCGAUGCAUCUUAGUGACUGCGACAGUAUCACAUCACUGCCGGAAUGGUUAGGAGAUCUCACCAAUCUUGAGAAGCUUGCCAUCCACAGAUGCCCUGCCAUGGAAUCUUUGCCGAGCAGCAUAAAUAAACUGACCAACCUGAAGGAUCUGCGUAUUUUGGAUUGUCCAAAAUUGAAGAGCUGGUGUGAAAGGAGGGAGAACAAGAAAAGAAUGGCUCACAUCCGACCAGACUAUGAAGAACAUGGUACUAGCAGGCCAGGCAGCAAGGACGAGGGCAAUGCGGAGGGUGAAUUGGAGAAGGACUGGUCGGAUGUCGUGGAGGAGGACUGGUCGGACGUCGUGGAGGAGGAGGAGCCAGAGGCAGUAUCGACGGAUGCAGUGGAGAAUUCAGUGAUGACAGACACCACAAAUGUUGUAGAGGAGGUGACGAGGGAUGUGGACGCAGCAGUGGCAGCUGAUGUAUGCUUGGAGUUGCGAUUGGGACUGCCCAUAAAUGAAGAAGCGUGUGUAGGCGCGUCAUGGAUGGCCGAUAUCGGCUAUGGACGCCCAGUGGUCGCCAUAGUAACCUAA
rnacentral:rRNA from 1 species